rnacentral:rRNA from 1 species
AGGGUCGAUUCCGGAGAGGGAGCCUGAGAAACGGCUACCACAUCCAAGGAAGGCAGCAGGCGCGCAAAUUACCCAAUCCCGAUACGGGGAGGUAGUGACAAUAAAUAACAAUACAGGGCUCUUAUGGGUCUUGUAAUUGGAAUGAGUACAAUUUAAAUCUCUUAACGAGGAACAAUUGGAGGGCAAGUCUGGUGCCAGCAGCCGCGGUAAUUCCAGCUCCAAUAGCGUAUAUUAAAGUUGUUGCAGUUAAAAAGCUCGUAGUUGAAUUUCGGAAUUUUUUUAUCGGUUGAAUCAACAGGUUCGUACUGAUUUUAAGAAUUUCUACCUUCUGGAGAACCUUAAUGUCAUUUAUUUGAUGUUUUGGGAAACCAGGACUGUUACCUUGAAAAAAUUAGAGUGUUUAAAGCAGGCUUAUGUCUGAAUAUAUUAGCAUGGAAUAAUGAAAUAGGACGGCAUGGUUCUAUUUUGUUGGUUUCUAGGAUCACCGUAAUGAUUAAUAGGGAUAGUUGGGGGCAUUAGUAUUCAAUUGUCAGAGGUGAAAUUCUUGGAUUUAUUGAAGACUAACUUCUGCGAAAGCAUUUGCCAAGGAUGUUUUCAUUAAUCAAGAACGAAAGUUAGGGGAUCGAAGACGAUCAGAUACCGUCGUAGUCUUAACCAUAAACUAUGCCGACUAGGAAUCGGACGAAGUUAAUUUUUUAAUGACUCGUUCGGCGCCUUACGGGAAACCAAAGUGUUUGGG